CAAACUGUAAUACCCUGUUUUCUGCACUUGGGGACACUAGCAUGAGGAAAUGGUACAGCUAUUUGUUAUUAAGCAACAUACCCAAGAACAUAGUCCAAGAAUGGAGUUGUGGGAGAAUUCUGAGUGCUUGUGAGAAAACUCCAAGAGAAUAAGACAAGAGUCUUGUGACCUCAGUUUCUUCAGAACACAGAACAGUUCUUGGAAUGUGUUUUCGUGCCUUUCCCAGGUGUAGCGGAUUGGAGCGAGUUUUCUUCAGCUGUAGUUAUUCAUGUGCCUCUAUGGAGAAACAUGUUUUUGCCACAUGCGGCUCAUUGUUGUGAUUGUGUACUCCACUCAUGUGAUUCUUUUUAAUCCCCACAGUAUAAAUUGCCUGAUGCUCUGAAUAAAGUUAACUAUUGCAUGAGACUUUAGUCCACCUCAUUUUUAGGCCCUGCUCUCCCAGGUUCACACUGCCAACGAGAGCGGUAAACAAGUGGCACCACAAAUCAGGGACCUGAAGUCCGCUAUAAGAGAGUGCGGGCCCUCACAGAAAGGAAAAAUCAAAAGUCCAAACAGCACCACUGACAACUGGGACAGUGACACUUGCCUGAGCUCCCUUCCUGGGUCCCUCCUUUAGAUAUGGAUCCUUCAUUGACUGCAAGUGACCCUGAAGCAUGCGCCCCGGACCAUCAAGGACACUGUGGAAGUCACCAGAAAGAUAGCAAACCUCCCUCCAGCUAAACGGCAAAAGGAGAUAUCAAUCAUAUCACCAGAAGUCAAGUCUGCCCACCUGGGGCCAAGUUACAGCUCUAUGCACCAAGGGAGAAGUUAUUUUACUAAUGACUCUGUGUUUCUGACUGGACCUUGAGACCAUAAAAGAUUCAUUCAUCCAUCUGAAGAAGGGACUGCAUUUAAUUUUUCCUUGGUAUUUGAAUCACUUCCUAUUUGCAUAGGCCAUCAUAACACUUGUAUUCCUAUUAAAGGCAAAUAUGGGCUUAUGUUCUACAAGAUA